UGAAUCCAUGUCAUGAAAUCAGAAUGUCAUCACCAGCAGCCCGCAAGGAGGCCAUAAAAGACUGUUGAAAGAUUCGGAGAGAAGCCUACAUUUGAUGGCAGUGAUGGAAGAGAUGCUUUUGAAAACUUUGAGUAACACUGGAUGGCUUUCAUUGGGUUUCAUGAAAUUUAUUUCCAGUUGUUUAGCAGAAAUGUUUUAGGAUGUUGUUUGCCUACAUUUUGAGUGAAAGCUUAACUUGUAAUUAGCAUAAGAGGCCUUUGGGAUCAUGAUGGUAUCGUCCUGGUAGUGUUCUGACCCCUCAGUAUAACCUUGUAUACUUUGGAAAGGAAAGGUUAAAACAAAGUAAAAGUUUGCCCAAUUCUGUAGAAUUGACACUAGCAUGAGCAGAGGUAAGGUUUCUUGUCCCACUCCUCCCCAGAAUUAUAAUUACUAAAUCCAUCCUUUGGUUUUCUCCCUGUCAGAAAUUCUGCUCAUCUUGCAUUGGCAGGCCUUAUGGCAGCCUCAAGCAAGACAUCGCUGACAUUGAGGCAGAAUAAAGCUUAAAGCUGAAAAAGGAAUGACCUGUGGCAAUGCUCAGUUCCUAAGAACAUUGCUAAGCUGUUCUGAUCAAGUGAACCAUGUGGCAUUCAGCGUUGUGCUAAUUAAAUUUCUUAUCUGGGUGUAGAGUAUAGCCACUGAAGGCAUUGACUUAUUAAGCUCAUUUUAAUUAAAAAGAAAACAUGUUUUUGUUCUGUUUGUGUUGUAUAAAGUAGUUAUGGGCCCACUCUCAAAUAAAAUUGUGAACCUUGUUUGCAAAAAAGCAAACUAAAGCAAA